rnacentral:tRNA from 1 species
CGGGACGUGGCUCAGCCUGGUAGAGUGCUCGCUUGGGGUGCGAGAGGUCGUGGGUUCAAAUCCCGCCGUCCCGACCA